GAUGAACGCUGGCGGCGUGCCUAAUACAUGCAAGUCGAGCGAAUGGAUUAAGAGCUUGCUCUUAUGAAGUUAGCGGCGGACGGGUGCGUAACACGUGGGUAACCUGCCCAUAAGACUGGGAUAACUCCGGGAAACCGGGGCUAAUACCGGAUAACAUUUUGAACCGCAUGGUCAGAACUUGAACGGCGGCUUCGGCUGUCACCUAUGGAUGGACCUGCGUCGCAUUAGCUAGUUGGUGAGGUAACGGCUCACCAAGCCAACGAUACGUAGCCGACCUGAGAGGGUGAUCGGCCACACUGGGACUGAGACACGGCCCAGACUCCUACGGAAGGCAGCAGUAGGGAAUCUUCCGCAAUUGACGAAAGUCUGACGGAGCAACGCCGCGUGAGUGAUGAAGGCUUUCGGGUCGUAAAACGCUGUUGUUAGGGAAGAACAAGUGCUAGUUGAAUAAGCUGGCACCUUGACGGUACCUAACCAGAAAGCCACGGCUAACUACGUGCCAGCAGCCGCCGCCG
rnacentral:rRNA from 1 species